rnacentral:rRNA from 1 species
GAUGAACGCUGGCGGCGUGCUUAACACAUGCAAGUCGAACGAAGCACUCUAUUUGAUUUUCUUCGGAGAUGAAGAUUUUGUGACUGAGUGGCGGACGGGUGAGUAACGCGUGGGUAACCUGCCUCAUACAGGGGGAUAACAGUUGGAAACGACUGCUAAUACCGCAUAAGCGCACGGUACCGCAUGGUAUCGUGUGAAAAACUCCGGUGGUAUGAGAUGGACCCGCGUCUGAUUAGCUAGUUGGUGGGGUAACAGCCUACCAAGGCGACGAUCAGUAGCCGACCUGAGAGGGUGACCGGCCACAUUGGGACUGAGACACGGCCCAAACUCCUACGGGAGGCAGCAGUGGGGAAUAUUGCACAAUGGGGGAAACCCUGAUGCAGCGACGCCGCGUGAGCGAAGAAGUAUUUCGGUAUGUAAAGCUCUAUCAGCAGGGAAGAAAAAAUGACAGUACCUGACUAAGAAGCACC